rnacentral:rRNA from 1 species
CAGCCGCCGCGGUAAUACGUAGGUGGCAAGCGUUGUCCGGAAUUAUUGGGCGUAAAGGGCUCGCAGGCGGUUUCUUAAGUCUGAUGUGAAAGCCCCCGGCUCAACCGGGGAGGGUCAUUGGAAACUGGGAAACUUGAGUGCAGAAGAGGAGAGUGGAAUUCCACAUGUAGCGGUGAAAUGCGUAGAGAUGUGGAGGAACACCAGUGGCGAAGGCGACUCUCUGGUCUGUAACUGACGCUGAGGAGCGAAAGCGUGGGGAGCGAACAGGAUUAGAUACCCGUGUAGUCCCUGUCUCUUAUAC